AUGAACGCUGGCGGCGUGCCUAAUACCUGCAGGUCGAGCGAACAGACGAGGAGCUUGCUCCUCUGACGUUAGCGGCGGACGGGUGAGUAACACGUGGAUAACCUACCUAUAAGACUGGGAUAACUUCGGGAAACCGGAGCUAAUACCGGAUAAUAUAUUGAACCGCAUGGUUCAAUAGUGAAAGACGGUUUUGCUGUCACUUAUAGAUGGAUCCGCGCCGCAUUAGCUAGUUGGUAAGGUAACGGCUUACCAAGGCAACGAUGCGUAGCCGACCUGAGAGGGUGAUCGGCCACACUGGAACUGAGACACGGUCCAGACUCCUACGGGAGGCAGCAGUAGGGAAUCUUCCGCAAUGGGCGAAAGCUUGACGGAGCAACGCCGCGUGAGUGAUGAAGGUCUUCGGAUCGCAAAACUCUGUUAUUAGGGAAGAACAAAUGUGUAAGUAACUAUGCACGUCUUGACGGUACCUAAUCAGAAAGCCACGGCUAACUACGUG
rnacentral:rRNA from 1 species